AAGAAGUUUGCUGCCAUUUUAUGUGAUUAAGAAAGAAGUAAAAAAGAAGAUGGGUUGUGCUGACAGCAAUAGAUAGCAUGACUGCUAAUGCUACGCUCUAUGUUUAGGAUCCGGCCAACUCCGACCUGGGAGCCAAAGCAGUCCAUCCACCUGUUUUUGUAAACAGCGUUUUAUCAAAAGACGGUCGUUCCUGUUUGUUUACAUCUUGUCUAUGAUUGCUCUCACGCUACAAAAGCAGGAUUGAGUAGUUCCAACAAAGACGCUAUGGCCCCCACAGCCUUACAUUGUUUACCAUCUGGACCUUAACAGCGUUUGUCUACUCUUGACCUGUGUCCUAGGAUGGGCCUGUGCUGUAGCUGCUGCCGACAUGGAGGAAACAUAAGAACAGACUCUGCAUUGGGUGACAAACAUGACGGCGACCAUCUUUUCCACACCAAC
rnacentral:lncRNA from 1 species